GUUUAAUUUAUAAACUAGAAUGCCAAUUUCUUUCAUUUACAGUAAAAGAUGUUCCAGAUAUAUAAAUAAGAAAUGGUAGUGAAGGCCCAUACUCAGGAGGCCAGGGUUUGACUCCUGACGACACCACUUCCUAGUUGUGUGACCUCAGGAGCUACUUUCCUUCCAGGGAACCCAUUGUUAAUAAUGCAAACAAGGACAUCACCUUAGGGGACAGCGGAGCCACAGUAUAACAGAAACCUGCAUCUCUGAAGGACUCUGGCGGGCAGAGCACCCAGGAACCUGACCGCUUCCCUUGGGACUGUUGUUUUACAGUGUUGUGUUAGUUUCUACUGUACAGCAAGAGAUGAAUGGAUAAAGAAGAUGUGGUACAUAUAUACAAUGGAAUAUUACUCAGCCAUAGAAAGGAACAAAAUUGGGUCAUUUGUAGAGAUGUGGAUGGACCUAGAGACUGUCAUACAGAGUGAAGUUGACUUGGAGGAUGGUGGAGUAGAAGGACAUGUGCUCACCUCCUCUUGCAAGAGCACUGAAAUCACAACUAACUGCUGAACAACCAUCAACAGGAAGACACUGGAACCCACAAAAAAGAUACCCCAAAGACAAAGGAGAAGCUGCAAUGAGACGGUAGGAGGGGCACAAUCAUGAUAAAAUCAAAUCCCAUAUUUGAAGAGAUAAUAGCUGAAAACUUCCCUAACAUGGGAAAGGAAACAGUCAACCAAGUCAAAGAAGCACAGAGAGUCCCAGGCUGGAUAAACCCAAGGAAGAACAUGCUGAGACACAUAGUAAUCAAAUGAACAAAAGUUAAAGACAAAAAAUAUUAAAAGCAACAAGGGAAAAAUGACAAAUAACAUACAAUGGAACUCCCAUAAGGUUAUCGGCUGAUUUCUCAGCAGAAACUCUGCAAGCCAGAAGGGAGUGGCACGAUAUAUUUAAAUUGAUGAAAGGGAAGAAACUACAACCAAGAAUACUCUACUGAGAAAGGCUCUCAUUCAGAUUUGAUGGAGAAAUCAAAAGCUUUAGAGACAAGCAAAAGCUGAGAGAAUUCACCACCACCAGGCCAGAUUUGCAACAAAUGCUAAGGGAACUCCUCUAGGCGGGAAAGAGACUAGCAACUUAAACAAACAAACAAACAAAACCAAAAAAAUAAAAAACCUUGUACACAGACUGUUAUAUCAAAACCUCAUGGGAACAACAAACCCAAAAACUACAAAAGAAACACACAAAAGAAAAAGCAACCCAAACACAACACUAAAGAUGGUCAUCAAAUCACAAGAGAAAAGAACAAACAAGAAAGGGAAGAAAAAAGACCUACAAAACCAAAACCAAAACAGUUAAGAAAAUGACAAUAAGAAGACAGGUAUCGAUAAUUACCUUAAAUGUAGAUGGAUUAAAUGCACCAACCAAAAGACAUAGACUGGCAGAGUGGAUACAAAAACAAUACUCGAAUAUAUACUGUGUACAAGAGCCCCACCUCAGACCCAGGGACACAUACAGACCGAAAGUGAGGGGAUGGAAGAAGCUAUUCCAUGCAAAUGGAAAUCGAAAGCUGGAGUAGCAAUACUCAUAUCAGACAAAACAGAUUUUAAAGUAAAGACUGGUAUAAGAGACAAGGACAUUACAUAAUGAUCAAGGGAUCAAGAAGAAGAUAUAACAAUUGUAAAUAUAUAUGCACCCAACAUAGGAGCACCUAUAACAAUAUAGUGGGGGACUUUAACACCCCACUUUUAUCAAUGGACAGAUCAUCCAGACAGAAAAUCAAUAAGGAAACACAGGCCUUAAAUGACACAUUAGACCAGAUGGACUUAAUUGAUAUUUAUAGAGCAUUCCAUCCAAAAGCAGCAGAAUACUUUCUUCUCAAGUGCACACAGAACAUUCUCCAGGAUUGACCACAUGCUGGGCCACAAGGC